AAUAGAUACCCCGGUAGUCCACGCCGUAAACGGUGGGCACUAGGUGUGGGCGACAUUCCACGUCGUCCGUGCCGCAGCUAACGCAUUAAGUGCCCCGCCUGGGGAGUACGGCCGCAAGGCUAAAACUCAAAGGAAUUGACGGGGGCCCGCACAAGCGGCGGAGCAUGUGGCUUAAUUCGACGCAACGCGAAGAACCUUACCAAGGCUUGACAUACACCGGAAACGUCCAGAGAUGGGCGCCCCCUUGUGGUCGGUGUACAGGUGGUGCAUGGCUGUCGUCAGCUCGUGUCGUGGGAUGUUGGGUUAAGUCCCGCAACGAGCGCAACCCUUGUCCCGUGUUGCCAGCAGGCCCUUGUGGUGCUGGGGACUCACGGGAGACCGCCGGGGUCAACUCGGAGGAAGGUGGGGACGACGUCAAGUCAUCAUGCCCCUUAUGUCUUGGGCUGCACACGUGCUACAAUGGCCGGUACAAUGAGCUGCGAUACCGCGAGGUGGAGCGAAUCUCAAAAAGCCGGUCUCAGUUCGGAUUGGGGUCUGCAACUCG
rnacentral:rRNA from 1 species